rnacentral:rRNA from 1 species
GACGAACGUUGGCGGCGUGCUUAACACAUGCAAGUCGAACGGAAAGGCCCUGCUUUUGUGGGGUGCUCGAGUGGCGAACGGGUGAGUAACACGUGAGUAACCUGCCCUUGACUUUGGGAUAACUUCAGGAAACUGGGGCUAAUACCGGAUAGGAGCUCCUGCUGCAUGGUGGGGGUUGGAAAGUUUCGGCGGUUGGGGAUGGACUCGCGGCUUAUCAGCUUGUUGGUGGGGUAGUGGCUUACCAAGGCUUUGACGGGUAGCCGGCCUGAGAGGGUGACCGGCCACAUUGGGACUGAGAUACGGCCCAGACUCCUACGGGAGGCAGCAGUGGGGAAUAUUGCACAAUGGGCGGAAGCCUGAUGCAGCAACGCCGCGUGCGGGAUGACGGCCUUCGGGUUGUAAACCGCUUUCGCCUGUGACGAAGCGUGAGUGACGGUAAUGGGUAAAGAAGCACCGGCUAACUACGUGCCAGCAGCCGCGGUGAUACGUAGGGUGCGAGCGUUGUCCGGAUUUAUUGGGCGUAAAGGGCUCGUAGGUGGUUGAUCGCGUCGGAAGUGUAAUCUUGGGGCUUAACCCUGAGCGUGCUUUCGAUACGGGUUGACUUGAGGAAGGUAGGGGAGAAUGGAAUUCCUGGUGGAGCGGUGGAAUGCGCAGAUAUCAGGAGGAACACCAGUGGCGAAGGCGGUUCUCUGGGCCUUUCCUGACGCUGAGGAGCGAAAGCGUGGGGAGCGAACAGGCUUAGAUACCCUGGUAGUCCACGCUGUAAACGGUGGGUACUAGGUGUGGGGUCCAUUCCACGGGUUCCGUGCCGUAGCUAACGCUUUAAGUACCCCGCCUGGGGAGUACGGCCGCAAGGCUAAAACUCAAAGGAAUUGACGGGGCCCCGCACAAGCGGCGGAGCAUGCGGAUUAAUUCGAUGCAACGCGUAGAACCUUACCUGGGUUUGACAUGGAUCGGGAGUGCUCAGAGAUGGGUGUGCCUCUUUUGGGGUCGGUUCACAGGUGGUGCAUGGCUGUCGUCAGCUCGUGUCGUGAGAUGUUGGGUUAAGUCCCGCAACGAGCGCAACCCUUGUUCACUGUUGCCAGCACGUUAUGGUGGGGACUCAGUGGAGACCGCCGGGGUCAACUCGGAGGAAGGUGGGGAUGACGUCAAGUCAUCAUGCCCCUUAUGUCCAGGGCUUCACGCAUGCUACAAUGGCUGGUACAGAGAGUGGCGAGCCUGUGAGGGUGAGCGAAUCUCGGAAAGCCGGUCUCAGUUCGGAUUGGGGUCUGCAACUCGACCUCAUGAAGUCGGAGUCGCUAGUAAUCGCAGAUCAGCAACGCUGCGGUGAAUACGUUCCC